GUGCCAGCCGCCGCGGUACUACCGGCAGCUCGAGUGAUGUCCAAUAUUAUUGGGCCUAAAGCGUCCGUAGCUGGCUGCGCAAGUCCGUCGGGAAAUCCACUCGCCCAACGAGUGGGCGUCCGACGGAAACUGCACAGCUUGGGACCGGAAGGCUCGAAGGGUACGUUCGGGGUAGGAGUGAAAUCCCAUAAUCCCGCACGGACCACCGAUGGCGAAAGCACUUCGAGAAAACGGACCCGACAGUGAGGGACGAAAGCUGGGAUCUCGAACCGGAUUAGAUACUCCAGUAGUCC
rnacentral:rRNA from 1 species